AAAUAUUAAAAUCAUUUCCAUGUAUCUGCUACUGUAGCCUCAAGCCAACAAAAGCCUUGGGAGUGGAUUUGGUAGGUGGAAACUGAAAGAAGCUAGUUUUGUGUAUGUGUGUGUGUGUGUGU